rnacentral:rRNA from 1 species
GAUGAACGCUGGCGGCGUGCCUAAUACAUGCAAGUCGAGCGAACAGAUAAGGAGCUUGCUCCUUUGACGUUAGCGGCGGACGGGUGAGUAACACGUGGGUAACCUACCUAUAAGACUGGGAUAACUUCGGGAAACCGGAGCUAAUACCGGAUAACAUUUGGAACCGCAUGGUUCUAAAGUGAAAGAUGGUUUUGCUAUCACUUAUAGAUGGACCCGCGCCGUAUUAGCUAGUUGGUAAGGUAACGGCUUACCAAGGCGACGAUACGUAGCCGACCUGAGAGGGUGAUCGGCCACACUGGAACUGAGACACGGUCCAGACUCCUACGGGAGGCAGCAGUAGGGAAUCUUCCGCAAUGGGCGAAAGCCUGACGGAGCAACGCCGCGUGAGUGAUGAAGGGUUUCGGCUCGUAAAACUCUGUUAUUAGGGAAGAACAAAUGUGUAAGUAACUGUGCACGUCUUGACGGUACCUAAUGAGAAAGCCACGGCUAACUACGUG